UUUCAUUCACGUUUGAUGCCCAUCCCAUGUGAACCUUUGACCUCAAAUUAGUCUCAAAUGAUUUGGAGCUUGUCGACAAAACCGUCACCCCCCCCUCUUCGAAGUGUAGAGUGUCUUGCAAAUGCAAAAGAGUCUCGGCUGGGUCUGCGGGGCAAAGGAGGGAGUAGAGGGGAGAGUAGAGGAUUGAGUCACUGGAGCAAGUGUGAACUCGUAAUGAUCCAUCUCAUGGGUUUGAGAUGAACGUCCCCUGACAGCGCCUACCAACUCAUCGUUCUCCUUCUCUCCACACACACACAUCAUGACUCAGCGCUUUCCCGCAACAGCACUCCACUGACACAACACUGGUUGACAGUACUGGAUUCUCACACACUACACUGUCCUCUGACUGACUACGCAUCAGAGGAGAGGAGAGGAAAGGAAAGGAGAGGAGAGGAGAGGAAAGGAGAAGAGACCUGGGCGAGGCAGAGGACAUGCGAGACUGCAUGUUGGAAGAAGAAGAGGACUCGUCUGGUCGGUGUCUGAAGGAUUCGCGCCAGAGGGCUGGACUGGGCUGGACUGAGCUGUCCUUGCGACUGAGCAUGCUACGCUGUCUGCAUGUUAAAAAACCUUAGAGGGAUGACAGGAAUUGAUAGACUUUAACGAAAUUAAAUGCAAAUUUUAAAAGGACAUGAGUCACUCAAACCAUCAAGGUCCCAGUUCCUUGCCAGUUCCUGUGCUGUAAGUAUUAGCAAAAGGGCACACUGCCCUUUUGUGUGCGGGGGUUAAAAGAUAAAAUGGGUACAUUCCCUCCAAAAAGAUCCAGUGUGUGAGUAUGUGUGUCUGUGUGUGUGUUUGAGACCAGUGCAAAGUGUAGAAUCUAGUAGAAACAAAGCACAGCAUCUCUUUCUUGCACUCAAGGGACAUCAGCUGUGGUGAAAGAGUCCCCUUUCCAGUGGCAGCCCCACCUGUUUAAAAAAAUAUAUAACGAUACAAAAGUUGGCCAGUUUUACAUGUAAUUCUAGCAUUUAUUUGUGUCACAUAUCAGUUUAGCAAACAAUGUAAAAAAAUCUUUUAAAAAUCCUUGCGUUAUUAAAGCAGCAUAUGGUAUUUUUCUUUGAGUAAGGCAGCUCCAUAAUGCAGCUGUUUCAGAAUAGCACAGUGCUUUCUGUGGUGGAGUGCCAGCCAGUGAAAGCACAGAGCGUACUCUGGUUAUGCUGUGAUUGGCUCAGGGUUCUGUCACUCAUGGGGACACUACAUCACCGCUGAAUCUAUGGGAGAACUAGGCAGUUCAAGUACACCUGGGGUGUUAACAUGGAUUGACAGUAGAAAUGCCCGUCCAAGAAGGCUCAAGGUCUUUGGCCACAGAUAAAAUGACGUCAAUUCAUGUUAUAUCUCCCGUAGCUUUGAUUGGACUGAUCAUGUCAAUAUCAUGAGUCUCGGUGCUCUUGGCCCAUUUUACAUAAACAUUGCAAAACAAGUCGGAUAUUGCAAAUUCAACCAUGUGGAAGGAAGCAGUGGCUUACUGUCUCAAAACAUGACAAUUGUGCAUCACAAGUAGACAACACUGUUAAACUGGGGAAAUCUAACGUUGUGGCUCAGCUAGACGCCACAGACAGACAAGCCGUGACCUUCACAACCAACAGACAGAGGAGAGUAGGUACAGUACGUGCUUGCCAGAAUCAUAGCGUGCAUUAAAUUGUGUGGAUGAAAAAAUAGGCAAAUAGGCUACAUCAGUCUCAGCUUGCUCAUGUCUUAUUCGAAAUGACGGCUCUUAUCCACUCCUCCUCCCAUUAUGCCAUUGUUAUAUUUCUUAUAUGGCUAUCACAUUAGUAUCUUAUUCAUCAUUUUAGGUCAUGUUAGAAUGAUGCAUAUCAUUGUUUUGCUUACUUUGUGUAUUAUAAUCACCUCAUGUGCUUUUCUACACGAGGAGGGAUAAUGUUGUUGGGUCUGUGACCAUGUUCGCCAGUGACAGUCACUUCCCAUUAAAAAAAUAAAAAUACAAAAAAUGUUCAGUAAUAGACACAUGUAAUUCCAGUUGAUAUUGCAAGGGUUGUUUUGUUUGCUUAAUGUGCUGUCUGUGCGUCGAUAUAUUGUCUAUAAAAGUGGAUCCUCGUGAUUGUAUUUUCCUUGCUUUUUAGACCACAUGAUACAAUAUGUCAAACAGUAGGCUAACCUCUAAGUCCACGUCUCGCUCUCGCUCUCCCUCCCUCCAUCUCUCUCUCUCUCUUUCUCUGUGUUGUGACUUAAAGAAGAGUAAAGUUCAGGCCUCAACAUCUGGCUGAAUUUAUCUGAACAUCUCUCUGAAUUCCUGUCGCUGAACGAAUAGGUCUAUCUCGUCUCAGUUCGUUUGCUUGCACUUAUACUUAGAGCUGUUAAUGAUAUAAGAAUAAACAUUGUGAAUUUACUGAA